rnacentral:misc_RNA from 1 species
GACAAUGGUAGGGAAGCAAAAUCAAUUAUAUUUGCCUUGGGAAGAAAAUGUGGGGCUUUUGUAUAUAUAUUAUAAUGUUUGAGAAGAUGAAAUGAGACUAAAAUUAUGUCAAAAACACUAGAAAAUACCCACCAUAGGAUGAGUAAUAAUGGCCACCUUUUCUCUCUGUUUAAUGAAUGGGCUGCAAUUACAGCUGCUACACUCCAUGUCAACACAAGAAAAAACAGAACCCUCAAACACAAAAUCUCUCAAAUUCAAGAAUUCAUUCACACAAAAUCCCAAGUAAGAAAUAGCUAUGGAGAAAUUCAAUAAAACUGUAAUCUUGAUGAAAAAUGUG